rnacentral:rRNA from 1 species
UGGGGAAUAUUGCACAAUGGCCGCAAGCCUGAUGCAGCCAUGCCGCGUGUAUGAAGAAGGCCUUCGGGUUGUAAAGUACUUUCAGCGGGGAGGAAGGGAGUAAAGUUAAUACCUUUGCUCAUUGACGUUACCCGCAGAAGAAGCACCGGCUAACUCCGUGCCAGCAGCCGCGGUAAUACGGAGGGUGCAAGCGUUAAUCGGAAUUACUGGGCGUAAAGCGCACGCAGGCGGUUUGUUAAGUCAGAUGUGAAAUCCCCGGGCUCAACCUGGGAACUGCAUCUGAUACUGGCAAGCUUGAGUAUCGUAGAGGGGGGUAGAAUUCCAGGUGUAGCGGUGAAAUGCGUAGAGAUCUGGAGGAAUACCGGUGGCGAAGGCGGCCCCCUGGACGAAGACUGACGCUCAGGUGCGAAAGCGUGGGGAGCAAACAGG